rnacentral:rRNA from 1 species
CCUACGGGAGGCAGCAGUGAGGAAUAUUGGUCAAUGGACGCAAGUCUGAACCAGCCAUGCCGCGUGCAGGAAGACGGCUCUAUGAGUUGUAAACUGCUUUUGUACGAGGGUAAACGCAGAUACGCGUAUCUGUCUGAAAGUAUCGUACGAAUAAGGAUCGGCUAACUCCGUGCCAGCAGCCGCGGUAAUACGGAGGAUUCAAGCGUUAUCCGGAUUUAUUGGGUUUAAAGGGUGCGUAGGCGGUCGGAUAAGUUAGAGGUGAAAUCCCGAGGCUCAACUUCGGAAUUGCCUCUGAUACUGUUCGGCUAGAGAGUAGGUGCGGUAGGCGGAAUGUAUGGUGUAGCGGUGAAAUGCUUAGAGAUCAUACAGAACACCGAUUGCGAAGGCAGCUUACCAAGCUACUUCUGACGUUGAGGCACGAAAGCGUGGGUAGCAAACAGGAUUAGAUACCCUAGUAGUC